rnacentral:rRNA from 3 species
CCUGGCGGCCAUAGCGCCGUGGAACCACCUGAUCCCAUGCCGAACUCAGAAGUGAAACGCGGUAGCGCCGAUGGUAGUGUGGCAUUCGCCAUGC